rnacentral:rRNA from 1 species
CCUACGGGUGGCUGCAGUCGAGGAUCAUUCGCAAUGAGCGAAAGCUUGACGAUGCGACGCUGUGUGAGCGAUGAAGGCCUUCGGGUUGUAAAGCUCUUUCGCUUGGGAACAAGAGAGAUUAGUGAACAACUAGUCAAUUUGAGUGUACCAGGUAAAGAAGCACCGGCUAACUCCGUGCCAGCAGCUGCGGUAAUACGGAGGGUGCAAGCAUUAAUCGGAAUUAUUGGGCGUAAAGGGCGCGUAGGCGGAUCAUCAAGUCAGAUGUGAAAUACCAAAGCUCAACUUUGGUGCUGCAUUUGAAACUGAUGAACUAGAGGGCUGACGGAGAAAAUGGAAUUCCACGUGUAGCGGUGAAAUGCGUAGAUAUGUGGAAGAACACCUGUGGCGAAAGCGAUUUUCUAGUUAGCACCUGACGCUGAGGCGCGAGAGCAAGGGGAGCAAACAGGAUUAGAUACCCUUGUAGUC